CUUCUUCUUCUUGUUCUUCUUCUC
rnacentral:sRNA from 1 species